AAAAGCUCCUUUGGUCUCAGUGAACUCAGAGGUGGAGAAAGUCAUAAGAAUCAGGGAGCCUGCCCCAAACUGCCUCCUAUGAUAACUUUCCACAAAGACUGGAGGGGAGGCUUAGAACAUCUUCCUGCAAUGUCCAGCAAGACAGCGAGGCAGACUCCCUUUCUCCUGCCAAAGCCACGUGGAGCCAGACAGAACCACAAGCAUACCUGUGGUGCUUGGAGGCCCAAGUAGAAACUUGAAUGCUCACGGCUGCAUUGGCAGCUUCUACUUGCCUGCCUGGAUCACUGUUUCUCAUGAGAACUUGGAAAAGCAGGACUAUCAUUCUUGCUUGACAGACGAAGAAACCAAGCCUCAGGACUGCGUGCAAUUCUACUUAGAGAUCUUCACAACAUCUUAAGGGAAAAAUCCUUUUUGAAAGAAAAACAACUCUGGGUGGUGCUUGAAAAUUCAGAAGGCAGCUAGAAACUUUGCCAGUGACAACUAUUUACAACUUCAGGGAGACAAAGGAAACUCCAGGUCAUCUCCCACAUCAUUGAUUGAGAGGACCAUUUUCUGACUCUCUGCACACACAUGCCUUCCUUUCUCCCAUGUUCAUACCUCCCGAUACCAAGAUGACAUCCCCAGAACAUCUCAGGUAAUGUUCUUCCCAACUCAACCAAACCCAGGGACUCAGUGAGCUGUAGCCCCACUCCCAGCAGGUGGCAGCCCACUAUCUCACUUACUUCUGCUUUUGGGACAGGCCCCCAAAUGAACCAGUAGCCAUUUUUC